CCCCUCUCAGGGUCACACCUGGAGAGUUUCUUGUAUUCUACCAGUCUCAACUACUAGAGCGAGAGUCAAGCAGAAGCAUAUCCAUUCCAUUCCUAGCUUGGGCAGUGGCUAGCGAGUGGAAGGCAAUCUACUACAAAU